rnacentral:rRNA from 1 species
CAGCCGCCGCGGUAAUACGUAGGUCCCGAGCGUUGUCCGGAUUUAUUGGGCGUAAAGCGAGCGCAGGCGGUUAGAUAAGUCUGAAGUUAAAGGCUGUGGCUUAACCAUAGUACGCUUUGGAAACUGUUUAACUUGAGUGCAAGAGGGGAGAGUGGAAUUCCAUGUGUAGCGGUGAAAUGCGUAGAUAUAUGGAGGAACACCGGUGGCGAAAGCGGCUCUCUGGCUUGUAACUGACACUGAGGCUCGAAAGCGUGGGGAGCAAACAGGAUUAGAUACCCGUGUAGUCCCUGUCUCUUAUACA